AUUGAACGCUGGCGGCAGGCCUAACACAUGCAAGUCGAGCGGAGCGGCGGACGGGUGAGUAAUGCCUAGGAAUCUGCCUGGUAGUGGGGGAUAACGUCCGGAAACGGGCGCUAAUACCGCAUACUAUCAGAUGAGCCUAGGUCGGAUUAGCUCGUUGGUGGGGUAAAGGCCUACCAAGGCGACGAUCCGUAACUGGUCUGAGAGGAUGAUCAGUCACACUGGAGCUGGGACACGGUCAAGACUCUGACGGGAGGCAGCAGUGGGGAAUAUUGGACAAUGGGCGAAAGCCUGAUGCGGCCAAGCCGAGUGGGUGAAGAAGGUCUUCGGAUUGUAAAGCACUUUAAGAUGGGAGGCGUUACCAACAGAAUAAGCACCGGCUAACUUCGUGCCAGCCGCCGCGGUAAUAC
rnacentral:rRNA from 1 species